rnacentral:rRNA from 1 species
CCUACGGGAGGCAGCAGUGGGGAAUAUUGGACAAUGGGGGCAACCCUGAUCCAGCCAUACCGCGUGUGUGAAGAAGGCCCUCGGGUUGUAAAGCACUUUCAGUGAGGAAGAACGCCUGGUGGUUAAUACCCAUCAGGAAAGACAUCACUCACAGAAGAAGCACCGGCUAACUCCGUGCCAGCAGCCGCGGUAAUACGGAGGGUGCGAGCGUUAAUCGGAAUUACUGGGCGUAAAGCGCGCGUAGGUGGCUUGAUAAGCCGGUUGUGAAAGCCCCGGGCUCAACCUGGGAACGGCAUCCGGAACUGUCAAGCUAGAGUGCAGGAGAGGAAGGUAGAAUUCCCGGUGUAGCGGUGAAAUGCGUAGAGAUCGGGAGGAAUACCAGUGGCGAAGGCGGCCUUCUGGACUGACACUGACACUGAGGUGCGAAAGCGUGGGUAGCAAACAGGAUUAGAUACCCGAGUAGUC